rnacentral:rRNA from 1 species
UACAGAGGUCCCAAGCGUUGUUCGGAUUCACUGGGCGUAAAGGGUGCGUAGGCGGUCGGGUAAGUCUGAUGUGAAAUCUCGGAGCUCAACUCCGAAACUGCAUUGGAUACUAUUCGGCUUGAGGUCUGGAGGGGGGACUGGAAUUCUCGGUGUAGCAGUGAAAUGCGUAGAUAUCGAGAGGAACACCGUGGCGAAGGCGAGUCCCUGGACAGGUCCUGACGCUGAGGCACGAAAGCUAGGGGAGCAAACAGG